rnacentral:lncRNA from 10 species
CAGCGCUGAAGGCAGAAUUGGGCCGAGAUGUGCAGCAGCAGCUGCCCCUGCGUGGCGUUUUCCACCACACACAGGGGACACAAAGAACCCGGGAACAUGUGAAUCUGAGGAAAUCACUAGGAAGGAGUCAGUAGUACGUGCUGGGCACUGUGCCAGAUGCCAGGGACACGUCGGACAAGGGUGUGGACACGCCCCGACGCUUGCAGCUCUUAUGUUCCAACAGGAGAUGCAGGCUGGAAACACCAUCAACAUCCAGAGGAUACUGUCUGUAAGGAGGGCAAUCAACUCCCUGACACAGGCCAGAUGGACAUCCGGGAGAAAUCCAUAGUACUGGAGCUGGUUCAGAGCCCCACGGAAUUAACUCGGAAUAAAACCACGAGAGAAAGGUAGGCUUGUGUGUUUAUUCCCCCUUCUCCCUGUUACUUUGACAUGCUCUUUGUUUUAGUCAAAUAAACAGAAGCCAGCAUUCAAUAGUGAGGAGAAGUGGCCCAAGGUUGUCCUCGUGUCCCAGGGCACAGGGGCAGGUGGACUCUGGGCCACCACGGCCAUCAGUCUAGGGCCAACAGCUGAUUUCACUGAAGGCGUCCACAAGGAAGCUGGUGGUCCUGACUUGUGAGGUCUCCUCAGAGGUGCCAUUCUUGAAACCUCCCCCAGAAGCGGGACUGCACCCUCACUUUCAUGGACCCCUUCCUCCAUAGAAAGUUAUUUAAAAUUACAUUGUAUAGGCUGGGCGCAGUGGCUCACGCCUGUAAUACCAGCACUUUGGGAGGCUGCAGGAAUCACCUGAGGUCAGGAGUUGGAGACCAGCCUGGCCAACAUGGCGAAACCCCGUCUCUACUGAAAAUACAAAAAAAAAAUUAGCCAGGUGUGGUGGUGGAUGCCUGUAAUCCCAGCUACUUGGGAGGCUGAGGCAGGAGAAUCACUUGAGCCUGGGAGGCGGAGGUUGCAAUGAGCCAAGACUGCACCAUUGCACUCCAGCCUGGGUGACAAGAAUGAAAGUCCGUGCCCAAAAAAAUAAAAUAAAAUAAGUAGAAUUACAUUUUAUAGCUUUGUUGGGAUGAACACAUUAAUAUUAUAUAUUAAAAUAUUCUGGGUUUUGGCUGGGCGCAGUGGCUCACACCUGUAAUCCUAGCACUUUGGGAGGCCAAGGCGGGCAGAUCGCUUGAGGUCAGGAGUUCGAGACCAGGCUGGCCAACAUGGCGAAAUCCUGUCUUUACUAAAAAUACAAAAACCAGCUGGGCAGGGUGGCGCAUGCCUGUAGUCCCAGCUACUUGGGGGCCUGAGGCAGGAGAAUUGCUUGAACCCAAGAGGGGGAGGUUGCAGAGAGGAGAGAUCAUGUCACUGCACUCUAGCCUAGGCGACAGAGCGAGACUCCAUCUCAAAAAUAAAUAAAUAAAAAUUUAAAAAAAAAUAGUCUUGUUUUUUU